rnacentral:rRNA from 1 species
UACAGAGGGUGCGAGCGUUGUUCGGAAUUACUGGGCGUAAAGGGCGCGUAGGCGGCCUUCUAAGUCAGACGUGAAAUCCCCAGGCUUAACUUGGGAACUGCGUCUGAUACUGGAAGGCUUGAGUGCGGGAGAGGGAUGUGGAAUUCCAGGUGUAGCGGUGAAAUGCGUAGAUAUCUGGAGGAACACCGGUGGCGAAGGCGGCAUCCUGGACCGACACUGACGCUGAGGCGCGAAAGCCAGGGGAGCAAACGGG